rnacentral:rRNA from 1 species
GAUGAACGCUAGCGGCAGGCUUAACACAUGCAAGUCGAGGGGUAUAGGAAGCUUGCUUUCUAGAGACCGGCGCACGGGUGCGUAACGCGUAUGCAAUCUACCUUUCACAAAGGGAUAGCCCAGAGAAAUUUGGAUUAAUACCUUAUAGUAAUACGCCUUGGCAUCAAGAUGUAUUUAAAGAUUUAUCGGUGAAAGAUGAGCAUGCGUCCCAUUAGCUAGUUGGUAUGGUAACGGCAUACCAAGGCUACGAUGGGUAGGGGUCCUGAGAGGGAGAUCCCCCACACUGGUACUGAGACACGGACCAGACUCCUACGGGAGGCAGCAGUGAGGAAUAUUGGACAAUGGGCGCAAGCCUGAUCCAGCCAUGCCGCGUGCAGGAUGACGGUCCUAUGGAUUGUAAACUGCUUUUAUACAGGAAGAAACACCUCUACGUGUAGAGACUUGACGGUACUGUAAGAAUAAGGAUCGGCUAACUCCGUGCCAGCAGCCGCGGUAAUACGGAGGAUCCAAGCGUUAUCCGGAAUCAUUGGGUUUAAAGGGUCCGUAGGCGGUCAGAUAAGUCAGUGGUGAAAGCCCAUCGCUCAACGGUGGAACGGCCAUUGAUACUGUCUGACUUGAAUUAUUAGGAAGUAACUAGAAUAUGUAGUGUAGCGGUGAAAUGCUUAGAGAUUACAUGGAAUACCAAUUGCGAAGGCAGGUUACUACUAAUAUAUUGACGCUGAUGGACGAAAGCGUGGGUAGCGAACAGGAUUAGAUACCCUGGUAGUCCACGCCGUAAACGAUGGAUACUAGCUGUUGGGCGCAAGUUCAGUGGCUAAGCGAAAGUGAUAAGUAUCCCACCUGGGGAGUACGAACGCAAGUUUGAAACUCAAAGGAAUUGACGGGGGCCCGCACAAGCGGUGGAGCAUGUGGUUUAAUUCGAUGAUACGCGAGGAACCUUACCAAGGCUUAAAUGUAGUUUGACCGUUUGGAAACAGAACU